UUUUCCUCUAGCAAAUCUACCCAGUAGUCAACCGUCCUUUUCUCUCUCUCACUGCCCCUCUAUUACACACAAAAAUACACAUAUAAAAUAUCGAUUUUGCAAGAUUCAAGGAGUUUGAAAAGGUUAGAGAGAGAUGCUCUCAAUUCUAGUGGGAGAAAGUUUCACUUGAAUGCCUUCUUCUCUUGCGUUUUGUCUUGUAUUUGAUCUGAUUUUACAUCCAUUGGUGGGAAUUGAUUAAAAUAUACUGCUUCUGGUUUGGAUUUUGCUGUUAUAUUAGUGAAAUUCGAACUUGCUCGUGGUUCUCUACGUGGUAUUCUUGGGAUUCAAUUUAUGCUACCGGUUGGAUUGAGGUGCUUCUCUUUUCAGUUAGGUCUCUCGGUUCCACGAUAUUUUCAGAUUGUUCUGGUCGGUUGUUCUGCAGAUUUUGGGUGGGUUCUUCCAGCUAAGGUGUGUAUUGAUCUGUGUCAGUUAUCUUCUUCGUGUUUGGCCACUUUCAGUUGCUUGGUUGUAGUACUUUGCUUCUUUUUUCUGGAUGGAUUAUUUGCAGAUUUUGGGGUGGUCUAGUCCAGCUCAGGGUCGCUUAAGUUUGAUUGUGGGUAAGAAGAAAGUUCAUCAGCUUCGGCCUAAAAAGCCAAUUGCGUCGGUCAAGAGGCAAACCGUUCCUCCAGUGGCUAUAGUAUCGUCUUCUAGGGUUCAAACACAACAUUCUCUGGAAGGUCAGAAUGUAACUUCUAAUGCUAUUGCUUCUAAUUUGCAUGCUCUUCAUGCUUCUUAAAAAUUUUGGAACGGAUUGUGUGAGGAUAGUAAUUCACCAAGUGUCUCCCAAACUCUUGGAGAAGAGGAUACAAGCUUUGAAAAUUCAAAUAAUGAACCUCUACCUGUUGUUCAGGAUGAUAAUCAUUGUAAAAGUGAUGAGAAUAAGGAUGCCCAUGCCCCUUGGAUAAAUUUAUUCAAAGAUGAUAGGAGUCCUAAUGAAGGUUUUAAAAUUGGUUCCAUUGAGGACCAACCUGAUGUUAUAACUUUGGAGGCUGUUGAUGUGGAUAAUGUGGAUGAUUCAUGGGGUUAUUGUAUUGUUGGUUAUUUUGCUGGCCGUUUUCGGGGAAAAGCAGCAUUGCUCCUUAUGUAUAACUCUUGGAAGGUUGAGUACCAAUAUUUUGUACAUAGAAGUGGGUGGUUGAUUUUCAAAUUUAAAGAUGAGGCAUCAAGGACUAGUGUGAUACAAGGUGCUCCUUACUUUGUAUUCGGUAGACUGCUAAUGCUUAAAGUUAUGCCCUGAUGUUUUGAAUUCUAUGAUAAAGAGGUAUGCACCAUUCCGGUAUGGGUGAAGUUACCAGGCCUUCCAUUGGAUUAUUGGAAUUCUAGAGCUUUGGCUAAAAUUGUAUCUAAGAUUGGGAAACCAAUCUCAAUGGACAAACUCACUGCUACUAAGGGCAGAAUCUCUUAUGCACGCGUGUUAGUGAAAAUUGAUGCCUCCAAGGAGUUGGUUCGGUUCGUGGCUAUGAACCUUCCAACGGGCAAAUUGAGAGUGCAAGAGGUUGAAUUUGAGCACGAACCCAAAUUCUGUGCAAAUUGUAAGAUGUUUGGACACGUUACUAUAGCAUGUAAUGUCAUAAAACAGCCUAUUAUACUGAGGCCGAGACAGGUUGGGAAUUCGGCAAACGCAGGGAAAUCGACACAGGUUGCUGACAUUGCCCCGAAACAGGCAGUUUUGGAAGCACAUGCUGGUUCUAAUCAGACAGGUGUGGUACAUGUAUAGCAGAAAGAGCAAGGUGAUGCGUUGUUUAUACGGGUUGUUGGUAAAAAGAAAGGUGCAAAAACUAGUCAUACAUCUUCAGGCAGAUUGUAGACUGUUCAGCAGCUAACGUUGGCAUUAACAUAUUGAGGACUGGAGGUCUUGCUAAUGUGCAGGGGGUUACUUCAAAGGAUAUUGAUACUAGUAGUGUUUAUUUGGGUAGUGUUUAUUCGGAAAAACCAAAUAAUGAGAAAAUCAAAGGAAAGGAGGACGAGAAGAGUAAGUUACGCUAAGGUUAGAAAGAAGGGUAUUUCCCUUCCUUCAUCAUCAUGAAGAUUGGUACUUGGAACAUAAGGGGCUUGAAGCGUUCCCUUAAGCAAAACGGGAUUCGAAGUUUAUGAAUCAACACUAUAUUGAUGUUAUGGGUAUAUUGGAAACUAAGUUGGGAAUGUCGAAGCUAGACUGAAUCAUGCGGAAUAAAUUUGGCAACCUAUUGCAAAUGAACAACUUUCCAUCACAUCAUGCUUGACGAAUUUUGGUGUUAUGGAACUCUUUAAAAGUUGACUUGGAAAUGUGGGAGACUACGUCACAAGUCAUCCACUGUAUUGUUACUUGUAAGGUAACAUCUCUUAAAUUUCUUGUUAGUUUUGUCUAUGGUCCUCGUACAAUUGUAAGUUGUAGAUCUCUUUGGGAUAAGUUCGCAAAGGUUGGAUUGGAUUGUUCUAUGCCUUGGCUGAUUAUGGGUAACUUCAACAAUGUACUCAAUUUUGAUGAGAAAUGUAAUGGAGUCGAUGUGACUCCAUAUGAGGUUAAAGACUUUAUUAAUUGUUGCCUCAAUGUAGGACUUACGGAUAUGAGAUCCAUUGGGUGUUUUUACACCUGAUCCAACAACUCUAUGUGGAGUAAACUUGAUAGAGCUAUGGUUAAUGAUGUUUGGAUGCAAAUGGGGUUUUCUAGUUUUGCGGAUUUCCUACCUUCGGGAUGCCUAUCUGACCAUUCACCUUGCAUUGUUUCUACUUUUGCAUGUGAUGAGCACAAAAGAAAACCUUUUAGAUUCUUCAACAUGUGGACUAAACAUGAGAACUUUUAUGGUAUUGUACAUAGUGUUUGGAAUCUUGAGAUUCGGGGAACUAAGCAAUUUUCUCUUUGCAAAAAAUUGCAACGCCUUAAAGAAGUACUGAAAGAGCUUAAUGUCAAACAUUUUGGGCACAUAUCUACUAGAGCUGAGAUAGCCACUAAAGUUUUAAAAGAAACCUAGCUGGUUUUACAUGAUGAUCCCACAAAUCGUCAUUUGCAAAAUGAGGUUGCACGUUUGAGGAAAGAAGCUAUGAAUCUUUGUGAAGCGGAGAGAAGUUUUUACUUCCAAUAAGAAAAGUGUGCAUAUUUGAAUAAUAGUGAUAAAUGUACAAAGUUUUUCCACUCUAUGGUGAAGAGAAAUACCAAAAGAAACUUCAAUGCUGCUAUGCUAAAAAGGGAUGGCUCAUAGACCUCAUCAUAAAAAGAAGUGGCCGAUGAAUUCGCUCAUGUUUUUAGUGAGUUACUGGGAAAAGAUAGCAUUGGACUGCCUUUUGAAGCUGAAAUUCUAGAGUUUGGACCUUCUUUGACAGAGGAACAUGCUACUUCACUUGUUCGGGAUGUUUCUAGGCAAGAAAUAAAGGAUGCAUUGUUUAGCAUUGGUGAUAACAAGUCUCCGGGGGCAGAUGGUUAUACAUCUUAUUUCUUUAAAGAGGCUUGGAAUAUUGUUGGUGAUGAAUUUUUAGGAGCUAUUGGUGAGUUCUUUGCUUCUAGGUCCCUCUUUAAGCAAACAAAUCAUAUUGUUAUUGCCUUGGUCCCUAAAGCCAAUCAUUCUUCAUCGGUGGAUGGCUAUAGACCAAUCGCUUGUUGCAAUGUUUUCUAUCAAGUCAUCACUAAGAUACUUGCUUCUCGGUUGGGUUCGACUCUUGAGUCCAUUAAGAGCUUUUGAUAAAGCUCAGGCCGCUUCUGUGGUAUCAAGAGCUUUUGAGACAUUACAAUCAAAAGAGGGUUUCACCGCAGUGCCUUCUUAAAAUUGAUUUAAAGAAGGCCUAUGACUAGGUGAAAUGGAAUUUUCUCAAGAAUGUGCUCGUGGGAUUGAAGUUCCCUACUACUUUCAUUGUUUGGGUUAUGGAAUGUGUUACAUCACUUACGUACUCCAUUGCUCUCAAUGGUGGCCUACAUGGUUUUUUUAAAGGAAAAAAAGGGCUUCGGCAAGGGGUUCAUGGCCAAGAGAUGGAGGAAAUUAUUGAGAUUGCUAACAUCCCCAAAGGUUCUAUGCCUUUUCGCUACUUGGGUAUUCCUCUUGCAGCGUAAAAGUUGAAAAUCAGCACUUAUGAUGCAUUUAUCAACAAAAUCACAGCUUAUAUUGGUGCUUGGUCGAGGGCAUCCUUAUCUUAUGCUGGAAGAAUGGAGCUUGUGAGGUCCUUGCUUCAAGGGGUUGUAUGUUUUUGGUUAUCCAUCUUUCCUAUUCCAGCAACGGUUGCCUAUAGAGUCAUUUCUCUUUGCCAAAACUUUCUUUGGAGAUCUAAUAAACCAUUGGUUGAAUGGAGCAAUAUAUGCCUACCAAAGUAUGAAGGUGGACUUGGGCUUAGGGACAUCAAAAGUUGGAACUCUGCACUACUUGCAAAGACACUUUGGAAUAUUCAUUGUAAGAAAGACACCUUGUGGAUUAAAUGGGUCAAUCCAGUUUACCUUCGUGGGAGUUGUAUUUGGACAUACAAGCCGAGAAAAGAGGACUCCACUGUUUUCAAAAAGGACAUUAGGGACAACAUUAAUCAGGCAGUAAACAAUGUCCAGGUGGCCGACAAAGAUCUGUCCAACUUAACAGGAAAUGGAAGACAGGUUGCUGUCCAGAAUCUGACCAGCUGGAUAGUUAAUGGCAGAUUCAAUAUUGCAUAUGCAUAUGAUUAUUUCAGGCCGAAAGGAACAAAGGUAAUCUAGGAUACCUCCAUUUGGAAUGCAUAUGUGACGCCGAAACACGCUUUUAUCAUGUGGUUAGCAGCUAAAUCUACACUGCUAACUAAGGACAGAUUGCAUUAUUUACAGAUUGAACUUAUGGAUGA